rnacentral:lncRNA from 1 species
UUUUUUGUUGUUAUCUGAUUGCUGAGGCUAGGACUUCUAGUACUAUGUUGAAUAGUAGUGGUGAGAGUGGAUAUCCCUGUCAUGUUUCUGAUCUUAGGGGAAAGGCUCUCAGUUUUUCCCCAUUGAGAAUCAUAUUUGCUGUUAUAACCAUUAUUUUGUAUGAUUUUCACUAAACCCUUCCCUAUCCCAUACUCAUGCAUUAGUUAGUAAAUAAGAUUUUUUGUUGUUGUUUUAUUUUAUACAUAAGAAACUAGAGCUCAAAAUGCAUACUUGGCUUUUUCAAAGUUACGCAUUUGAGGGGAUGGAGUCCAAACUUGCAUUUGAAAUUUCUUUUCCUCAAUCGAAGUCCAUCCUCUUAGAUCAUCUAUUUUUUCCAACAUCAUCUAUCAUCUAUAUUUACAAUCUACUGUGGGAAAAUGACUUAAAUAGAGUUGCUAUAAUGGGCAUAAUGAAUAUGUACAUUAAGAGAGGUUCAAAGUGGAGUCUUACCUAGCUAAAAUGAACAGAGAUUCACAGCCAAAAUACUGCAUUGGAUAAAGGCUUUGGUGUGGAGUCAGGUAGACUGGGAUUCGAUCUUAGCUCCUUCACCUACUAGGUAUUUAUACUUAAGCAAGUUUCUUAACUACUCUGAAUCUUGGUUUCCUCAUCAAAAAAAGUGUUAAUAAUAGAUACAACCUGCAGGAAGUUUGCAAGAAUAAAAUUCUAGCAUGUAGUGAAACAUUUAUGACACUGUUGGGCACAAGAACAUUCCUAGUAUUUUUUUCAGCCAUAAUUGUCAUAUUAUGAUUAUACUGGAAAGUGAUAUGGAAAGAAUGGCCAGGAAAUAGCCUUUAAAUGUGCCAGGAAAGCAAACAGAAUUUGUACAUCACCAUCAUCCUCAUCAUCAUCAUCAUCAUCAUCAUCAUAUCUAGCAUUCAUUAAGUGCAAAUUGUGAGCAUUUUAAUAAAUUAUCCUAAUUGAUCCUCACAAUUAUUUGAUUUACAGCAAAAAGUAUGUUAUUUUCCUGAUUUCAUAGGUUAGAAAAUUGAAGAAUGAAAAUAGUAAGUAAUUUUCCUAAGGACUGUGGCAAGAAAAUAAUUGGUUUACCUGGAAAAUAAGGGGCAAUACAUGCUGUUGAUCUUUCCAAUAAUAUUUUCAUCUUAACUAGACAUUUUGAAUAAGAUAAGGUCUUAAUCCAAAGAAGUUAUUAAUGAUGAUUUUUGUGGCUCUUAAAGAUGAGGGUGAGAAAUAUGAAGGUGGUCAUGAAGAGUAUCCCUAAAAUGUUCAUCCUUUUAUUCGUUCAUUUGACACAUUGUUUAACUGCCUAUUUUGUACAGGUUUCAUGUUUUCUACCUGGCUUAGAGUAUUAAACCCUCUUUUCUCCUCCUAUUUAUCUUAAAUAGUUUCAAGUGUAAAUAAAUAUUACAAAAGUAGUACAGUGAACAACCACAUUCUUUUCACUUAGACUCAACCAUUGUUUUUGCUACAUUUGUUUUUACUGUAUAUGUAAGUACAUUUGUGUGUGUGUGUGUGUACAUUCAUACACAUUUGUACAUACAUACAUCACUUUUUUGGCCCACCAUUUUAGAGUUAAUACCUGACAUUAAGAAACUUUGCCUCCAAAUACUUCAGCAUAUAUUUCCAUAGAACAAGGAGGCUCUGUAUAACCACAAUACAGUGAUCAUAUUCAGAAAAUUUAACAUUAAUACACUUUCAUUAAUUAAUGUACCUUCAAUAUUUAAAUUUAUCUAAUUUUCUCAAUAAUGUAAUUUAUAGCUUUUCUCUCUCUUUUUAAUUUAUUUAUUCAUGAGACACACAGAGAGAGGCAGAGACAUAGGCACAGCGAGAAGCCAGCUCCUGUGGGGAGCCUGAUGUGGGGAGACUCAAUCCCAGGACCCCAGGAUCAUGACCUGAGCCAAAGGCAGAAGCUCAACCACUGAGCCACCCAGAUGCCCCUAUAGCUUUUUUCCUAAUGCAAGCUUCAAUCACAAAUCACAGUGGAUUUGGUCAUCAUGUCAGUAUUCUCCUUCAAUGUUAAAGUUCAUCGAACUUUUUUGUUUUUUAACUUUUAGACUCCAUUUAUUUUGCAGAAUAUACCUCUAUAUGACUUGCUUAUUUUGCCAUGAUUAGAUUCAGGUUAAGCAUUUUUUCCUGAACAUUACAUAAGUAAUAUCUGUCCUCAGUGCAUCACACUGGGAAGCUCAUGAUGCCAACUUGUUCAAUCUCUUUAUCUCUAAGAAAGAGCUUGAAAUUCUGAAGGGAACAAUACAACCCCAAUUCCUGGCACUGUCUCUACUUGCAACACACAUUUCAAAGUCCUGUAUUAGAAAUCUGAAAGUAACUGUAAUGAUGGUGCCACUGCAUUCAUUCAACUGAAAUUCAUUAUGUACAUUCAAUCAUUCAUUUGUGAAUGGAUGGCUCCUUUAUGAAAUGGUGAAAAUCAUUUUUCAUAAAUUAAGGACUUUUACAUGCAAGACUGGAGUUUAUAACUGUAUGGGAGUUUUGACUUAUUACUCAAUUAUAGUAUUCCCAAAGUAGAUUUGGGUGGGGGGAUAGCUUUGAAAAUUAAAAACACUAAGUUUAGAAUGAAUAAGAGGAAAUAUCACUUUCUACAUCAGCUACAAUCUUAUAAAAUAUAUUACUUUAAUUGAGUUAUUAUAGACCAACUUCUUGGCUGAGUUGACUUAUUUUAAAAUGAAAAAGAUGACUAGAUGAUUUGUAAGUUCUCUUCUCUUUCAACAUUCAGUUUCUGGCUAAAUUUGUUAACAUUUUAAGUUGUGAUUUAGGUAAAUUCACUGACGACAGAUUUGUAAGGGGUUAUUAAGGGUAACUGGGAUGUUUGGAAAUUUCCCCAAUGUCUUAAUUAGACAUUAUAAAAGAAUCACCACAGCAAUCUCAAUGGUACCACUUACUUUGACCUGCUUCUGUUCACUUCAUAAUCUAUUGUGGAUUAUUAUGGCUUUCCAGCACCUGACUCAUUUCCCAUAUCUGACUACACUUUAUCCUUCUUUUUACUCUUUUGCCAACUUAUUCUUUGGCUUUUGAUCCCUACCAUAUUUCAAAUUUACUCUUUAAUUUGCUGCUAUUGGCUGAUGUAGUUAAAUGUUUCACCUAAUUAGCCUGGUCCAGGGUCAUACAGAACCUCAUAAAUGGGGAUGUUGGUAGUGGCGCUUAGCUAUAAGGUGGGCCCCAGACAAGAAGACCAGUUAAACAGAGAUGCAGACAUGUUGACCUUUUCAGUUCUAGCAUCACAUUCUAUGUGAUUCACUUCCACUUCGUAGUAGAUCUGUGGGAAAACUGAAAGCAGAAGUAAUGUAAAAUGUUGGUUUUACAUGAAAAUCAUUUUUAUGAAAAAAAGGAGAUUGAUAAUUUUAAGUUAUACUGGAUUUGAAAACAGGAUGUAGAGAUCCUUUUGCUGAAUGUGUUUAACUGAUAAGAUAUAUUCGUUCACUUACUCAUUUGUGAUAUUAUAAUAAUAAAGAGAACAGAUUCUGAAUAUGGACUGCCACUUACCACCAGGGUAAGUCAUUUGACCUCUAUGUGUCUCAGUUUCAUUAUCUACAAAAAUGGGAAUAACAACGGCAGCUACCAAAGGAUUGAUGAGAAUUAAUCAGUUAAUGUAUAUGAAAACCUAUAGAACACUAUUUGGCACAUAGCAAGUGCCACAUAUAUAUUAACUAUUAUUACCAAUCUAUAGUCUUUGGUCUCCUAUUAUAUGUCUAACAUAAUAUAAAGAAUCCCAUACACAUUCUUGGAGUCAAAGAAUAAUUCAAAGUAAUAUUUGACAUCUAACAGCAGAGGAGAUGAGGGGUUUGAGGUUUACCCAUGGGAUUUCUUCCUAUUAUCAUCAUCAUUGUCAUAGUGACUACAUUUAUUGAGUGUUUGUGCCUGGCACUCUUAGGUGUCUUUCAUACUUUUUCUUAUUUUGGUUUUUACUUUUACAGAAAGGUUAACUCUCUGCUAAAGGCCAUAUAGCUUGAAAAUGGUAGAUUCAAGAUCAAACUGAAGCAGCCUGACUCUAAUAUUCCAUGAUAUUAAUAACACUGGACAUCUAUAAACUAUAUCGAGACAUGGCACGAAGUGCCUUCAUUCAAUACACACACACAUGUACUGAGAACACAGUACAUACGCGGUGGACAGAGACAAAUCAGACCCCUGUCGUCAGAUAACUCCUGCUAUCAAAGAGAUCAGAUUUCAUGUUGAGGAUACAAAAAUGAAAAUGACAAAGUGUAGAGUGUGCUAUGACAGUGAUGUUCCCAGGGCAAGCUCCAGAAAUGGCCUCUCAAUCUGAGGGAAAAUUGAGGAGGCAUGAGAAAUGAAGAGAGGGCUCGGCAGUGUCAAGGAUGGAGAGGCAGCAGGUGAAUAGGUGUGGAACAGGCAUCUGAGGGAGAAAGACAACAUGUGAGAAGAGAUUUGAUGUGUGUGGGGAACUAUGGGACUUUGCGGCUGGAGGAGAUUGAGGGUCUAGGAGAUAUGGAACUAAGAGGAAAACAGGGCAUGACCAGGAAACCUCUGUCUGCUAAUGUGAAGAGCUUAACAUUGAACAAGAAGACUUGGGGAUUGUUUGAAAACAUUUAACCAGGAAGAAAACAGGAUCAAAUUUGCUUAACAAAGAUCAUUGCACAAAAAGUAUUAAGGGUUUUUUUUUUUUAAUCAUGUCUUUAAAUUAAUGGCAUGUUUUAUUGAAAUCUGUCUGUAUUAAGUUCUUCUUGUUUUUGUGGGUUUACACUAAUGAAUUUCAGUAGGUGGUAUUAUUAAUAUUACUCACUAUUCCUACCUACCAGUUUCUUAAUUCCUUAGGUUUAUAGCAUGCUUUCAACUCCAUUAUCUCCCAUAACUGCUAUAACUGCCUUUUAAAAAAAAUGAUUAUUUCCCAUUUGCAGAUGAAGAAACUGAGGCUGAGUGAUGUUAGCUUUCACAGAAUUGCCUACCUCAGAACUACAACCCUGGGAAUAAAUCUGAGCAAGGAAGCCUCAAACGGAUGCCACGUGAUUACCCUCUUUGGCUCUGCGGUGGACUGCAAGGGACCUCCACCCUUGAAAUACCCAUGCAAUUCGGACAUCCCACUAUAGCACCAGGGUCAGUUCCAACCCAGCUACUUAGGACAGCGGUUCUGCUCUAACAAACUGUUAUAAACUGGGUGGUUUAAACAUUCAUGCCUCAUAGUUCUGGAGGCUGGGAGGUUCAAUAUCAAGGUGCUGGCAGAUUUAGGGUUUGGUGAAAGGCCUGCUUCCUGGUUCACAAGUAGCCAUCUUCUCCUGUGUCCAAACACGGAGGAAGGGGUGAGGGAUAUCUUAAGAGCCCCGUUUCUAAGGACACUAAUUCCAUUCACAAGGGCUCCAUGCACAUAACCUAGUCACCCUCCCAAAGGCCCUACCUUCAAAUAUCACCACACUGGGGAUUUCAAUAUAUAAAAUUGGAGGACACAGGACACAGGCAUCCAGUCCAUAACACUACCCAAUGACCAUUUUCUGUCUUCCUGGAUAGCAAACCUUAUCUGUCUCCUGGCAGCAGUUGUGGCCAAUGACAUGUAGACAGAAUCCUUCUGGUGACCCUUUGGAAAAGAUUUUUCUCUGAAGAGAGAGUAGUAUGAGCUAAUGGUCCCUUUGUUUCCUCCCUAUCUUGUAUGCUCUUGUGUGGCAAUGUCAUAUUUGAAGGCAGGUAGGAUCUUAUGAGCAAUAAGGGAUCUUUUUAAAUUUUGUUUAGAUUCUAUUUAUUUAUUUGACUGAGAGAGAGAGAGAGAGAGAAUGAGAGAGAGAAAGAGAACACAAGAAGCAGGGGGAACAGGAAAGAGAGAAGCCCCAACUUGGGGCUCGGUCCCAGGACCCUGAGAUCAUGACCUGAGUGUAAGACAGAUGCUUGACUGACUAAGCCACCCACGCAACCCAAAAAGAGAUCUUUUGAGAACAAAAAAACCCAACAUACUGAAGAUGGUGUAAGGGGAGGAUGCAGG